GAUGAACGCUGGCGGCGUGCCUAAUACAUGCAAGUCGAGCGAACGGACGAGAAGCUUGCUUCUCUGAUGUUAGCGGCGGACGGGUGAGUAACACGUGGAUAACCUACCUAUAAGACUGGGAUAACUUCGGGAAACCGGAGCUAAUACCGGAUGAUAUUUUGAACCGCAUGGUUCAAAAGUGAAAGACGGUCUUGCUGUCACUUAUAGAUGGAUCCGCGCUGCAUUAGCUAGUUGGUAAGGUAACGGCUUACCAAGGCAACGAUGCAUAGCCGACCUGAGAGGGUGAUCGGCCACACUGGAACUGAGACACGGUCCAGACUCCUACGGGAGGCAGCAGUAGGGAAUCUUCCGCAAUGGGCGAAAGCCUGACGGAGCAACGCCGCGUGAGUGAUGAAGGUCUUCGGAUCGUAAAACUCUGUUGUUAGGGAAGAACAUAUGUGUAAGUAACUGUGCACAUCUUGACGGUACCUAAUCAGAAGGCCACGGCUAACUACGUG
rnacentral:rRNA from 1 species